UGAUUGGGAUUUGUAGUUUAUUGUUUUUCUCUUGCAAAUUUUAGUAAUAUAUAAUGUACUAAACUUGGUCAUCUGAUCUAUAUAGUUUAUCAAAAGUGCUUCUGGUGUUUUUUUCUGAAGGUUUAAAUUUUUACUAUACAAAUUUGGUGUGAGGAGCGGCAGGAUAGACAGAUGGACAGCGUUAUGGAGGUGUGUGCUGAGGGAUACAUGAGUCUUAAGAUGAGAGGAAGGUUCAAGAUGAGACGGUUAAAUGGUGAGAAUGGCAGUGAGAAGGUUCAAGAUGAGAUGGAUGAAUGAGAACAGCAGUGAGAAGAAGAGAAGCUUGCGGAACUGAUGUGUAUUGCUUUGCCAAGCACCAAGGAGGCGAGUGAUCCACACGGAAAUGAGUUUGGAAGCCUGAGUUGAAGUCCCACUUGAAGCUGGUCAUUCUUCAGUUGAAUGGCCAAGGAUCUUCCAUAUGUUGCUUGGUUCUUCUACUUUAUGUCUUUCUUCUCUUUUUUUGUCUUGUCUUUCAGUGUUCUUUCUUCUUGUCUUGUACUUUUCCCUUUGAUUUCUUCUUGUUUAGUGUUUCUCUUCCCUUUCCAUCCUCAUCAGGCAAAUUUCAGCUAACUUGUCAAAUUUACACAGCAGGACUUGCAGUGCCUGCUGUUUUUAAAUGAUGAAAUAUUGCAGCUGUACAGAGAUGUGAUAUUUAUACUUCUGUACAGUUUUGUACACAGGUGUAUUAUGUUUAGUGUCAUUAUGUAUGCCUGGACAUUUUGUGUACAUUGUAUUAUUAUAACUAUUCUUGAUUGUAUGUUAUCUUGCACAUUUCCUGGAAUAUAUUUUUAUUUACUAUCUGAGUAUGUUCAUACUGGUUUUCCUUGUGCAUGUAUCGCCAAAUGAAAAUAAAUCAUUGUUCUUUA